UGGGUUAAACGGCCGCGGUAUUUUAACCGUGCGAAGGUAGCGCAAUCACUUGUCCUUUAAAUGAAGACCUGUAUGAAUGGCUAGACGAGGGCUUAACUGUCUCCUCUCCCCAGUCAAUGAAAUUGAUCUCCCCGUGCAGAAGCGGGGAUUUUUUCAUAAGACGAGAAGACCCUAUGGAGCUUUAGACACUAGACAGCCCACGUCAAACAACCUUAAUCUGCUAGGAGUGAACAUUGUGGCCCCUGUCUCCCCUGUCUUCGGUUGGGGCGACCGCGGAGGAGAAAAAGCCUCCAUGUGGAAUGAAGUUACCACCUUCACAGCUCAGAGCCGCAGCUCUAGGCAACAGAAAUUCUGACCAAAAAUGAUCCGGCAAACGCCGAUUAACGGAACAAGUUACCCUAGGGAUAACAGCGCAAUCCUCUCCCAGAGUCCCUAUCGACGAGGGGGUUUACGACCUCGAUGUUGGAUCAGGACAUCCUAUUGGUGCAGCCGCUAAUAAGGGUUCGUUUGUUCAACGAUUAAAGUCCUACG
rnacentral:rRNA from 1 species